CAGCCCUAAACGAUGCGCGUUAGGUGUAUCGGUGACCACGAGUCACCGAGGUGCCGAAGGGAAACCGUGAAACGUGCCGCCUGGGAAGUACGGUCGCAAGGCUGAAACUUAAAGGAAUUGGCGGGGGAGCACCGCAACGGGUGGAGCCUGCGGUUUAAUUGGACUCAACGCCGGGAAGCUUACCGGAUAAGACAGCGGAAUGAUUGCCGGGCUGAAGACUCUGCAUGACCAGCUGAGAGGAGGUGCAUGGCGUAGUCGUGU
rnacentral:rRNA from 1 species